rnacentral:rRNA from 1 species
CCUACGGGGGGCAGCAGUGGGGGAUAUUGCACAAUGGGGGGAACCCUGAUGCAGCGACGCCGCGUGGGUGAAGAAGCGCCUCGGCGCGUAAAGCCCUGUCAGCAGGGAAGAAAAUGACGGUACCUGAAGAAGAAGCCCCGGCUAACUACGUGCCAGCAGCCGCGGUGAUACGUAGGGGGCAAGCGUUAUCCGGAUUUACUGGGUGUAAAGGGGGCGCAGACGGCGAGGCAAGCCAGGAGUGAAAGCCCGGGGCGCAACCCCGGGACUGCUCUGGGAACUGCGUGGCUGGAGUGCAGGAGGGGCAGGCGGAAUUCCUGGUGUAGCGGUGAAAUGCGUAGAUAUCAGGAGGAACACCGGUGGCGAAGGCGGCCUGCUGGACUGCAACUGACGUUGAGGCCCGAAAGCGUGGGGAGCAAACAGGAUUAGAUACCCCAGUAGUC